rnacentral:rRNA from 1 species
GAUGAACGCUGGCGGCGUGCCUAAUACAUGCAAGUCGAGCGAACAGACGAGGAGCUUGCUCCUCUGACGUUAGCGGCGGACGGGUGAGUAACACGUGGAUAACCUACCUAUAAGACUGGGAUAACUUCGGGAAACCGGAGCUAAUACCGGAUAACAUGUUGAACCGCAUGGUUCAACAGUGAAAGACGGUUUUGCUGUCACUUAUAGAUGGAUCCGCGUCGCAUUAGCUAGUUGGUAAGGUAACGGCUUACCAAGGCAACGAUGCGUAGCCGACCUGAGAGGGUGAUCGGCCACACUGGAACUGAGACACGGUCCAGACUCCUACGGGAGGCAGCAGUAGGGAAUCUUCCGCAAUGGCGAAAGCCUGACGGAGCAACGCCGCGUGAGUGAAGAAGGUCUUCGGAUCGUAAAACUCUGUUAUUAGGGAAGAACAAAUGUGUAAGUAACUAUGCACGUCUUGACGGUACCUAAUCAGAAAGCCACGGCUAACUACGU